rnacentral:misc_RNA from 1 species
CAACCCUCAGGCCCCCAGUGCCUGGCGUUGGGGAUCGGCUCAGGGGCGACCGCGCAAGCGGCCGCUUCCCGCCGGCCCCGAAAUCUAGUGGCGGUCUCGCUGUAGUCCUCCUCUGCGUAGUAGCACAACCUCGCAGCUGGAACGCGGCGGUGGCCCUGCCGUAAAACACCCCACUUCUGAA